rnacentral:rRNA from 1 species
UAGUCCACGCUGUAAACGAUGAGUACUAGCUGUUGGAGUCGGUGUAAAGGCUCUAGUGGCGCAGCUAACGCGAUAAGUACUCCGCCUGGGGACUACGGCCGCAAGGCUAAAACUCAAAGGAAUUGACGGGGACCCGCACAAGCGGUGGAGCAUGUGGUUUAAUUCGAUGCAACGCGAAGAACCUUACCUGGUCUUGACAUCCUGCGAACUUUCUAGAGAUAGAUUGGUGCCUUCGGGAACGCAGUGACAGGUGCUGCACGGCUGUCGUCAGCUCGUGUUGUGAAAUGUUGGGUUAAGUCCCGCAACGAGCGCAACCCCUAUUGAUAGUUACCAUCAUUAAGUUGGGUACUCUAUUAAGACUGCCGCUGACAAGGCGGAGGAAGGUGGGGACGACGUCAAGUCAUCAUGGCCCUUACGACCAGGGCUACACACGUGCUACAAUGGGUAUUACAGAGGGCUGCGAAGGUGCGAGCUGGAGCGAAACUCAAAAAGGUACUCUUAGUCCGGAUUGCAGUCUGCAACUCGACUGCAUGAAGUCGGAAUCGCUAGUAAUCGCAGGUCAGAAUACUGCGGUGAAUACGUUCCCGGGUCUUGUACACACCGCCCGUCACACCAUGGGAGUGGGUUGCUCCAGAAGUAGAUAGCUUAACGAAUGGGCGUUUACCACGGAGUGAUUCAUGACUGGGGUGAAGUCGUAACAAGGUAGCCGUAGGGGAACCUGCGGCUGGAUCACCUCCUUAA